UUAACAAGCACUAGGAAGAAAGGGAGAAAGCUUUUAGCCGAAAGGCAAAAGCAGCACUUUUUUUUUUUUUAUUAUUUAAUGGAAUUUAAAGAUAGUCCAGGCCGAGGAAGUGAGCGAAUACAAGGUGAGGGGGUGGGAAGGAUAUGGAAAGCUCCGGCUUUUCAUAACAUUCCUCCCACGGAAGGACGGUUGGGAUGGGAGAGGCGGCGUGCCCUGCCAGCCUCUGACAGCUGCACCGUGUGGGUGCCGGGGUGGGCGGCCCGCUGUGGGAAGCCCUUCUGAUCCGGAAGGAUCCCCCCAACCUCCUCCUCCUCCUGCCACCUCAGUCUGCUCUCUUGCCUUCUCCCUGAGCCUGGAGUCUCUAAGUGGCCCCGAGGAUGUCUUCUAGCAAAAGCAUGAGUUUCCUGGGCGGAAAGAGCAGCCUGACAGGUUGGAGAAACCAAGACGUGCAUCAUGUUAUGAACUGGUGAAUAGCCAGAGGAAUGAAGAAUUUUAGCUCAAGUUCCCUAAAACCAGCAAUCUCGGCAAUUUUUGCACACACCCCACAGCGCUUGGCCGACUUCUCGCCCGCUCCAGAGGAUCUUCGUUCGGGAAACGGAGAUUAAGUGGCCUGCCGAUGGUCAUGGAUCAUGUCAACGGCGCGGGUGGGAUUAGAUCCUUAAAUCCCCACCCAAGGUGGAGAUGGGCUCCGGGGAUGCUUGGUAAUCGGAACCCUCGGCCGGGAUGGAUCCUCCUCCAGCCACCUGGAUCCUCGGAAGAACUCUCAUCGGGCAGAAAAAGGAGAGCUCUUCAGAGAUCGCUUGGAGCUUUUGUUCUUUUUCACACAAAGUCCCGUCCCCCAGACACUAAGCCCGGCUGGAAGUCCAUGUCAAGGACAGCAGAGGGGUAGGAGAAGACUGUAAAGCCACAAUCAGUGAAUCAAUCAAUCAGAUUUGAGGAUGUUUAUAGCGUACAGAGCUCCGUAUCAAGUAUUUGGGUGAGUACGCUGUAACAAAGUUGUAAGACACAUUCCCUUCCAACCGUGAGCUUACGGUCCGCUCAGAAAAACAUACAAGAGUCAGAAUUCCUUCUUCUAUGUGAAAAUUUGCCCACUCCACUACUUAGUGCAGUGUCGGCCACAUAGCGCUUAACAAAUACAAUUUUUUAAAAAUCUUGAAUGUAUUUGUCAAAGGGUGUAUGGUUGCUAGUCCUCCUCUAGGAUGUAAACUCAUUAUGGGCAGGGAAUGUGUCCACUGGUUCUGUUGUAUUGUACCCUAAUAAAAAUAAUA